rnacentral:RNase_P_RNA from 2 species
GUCCUCCCCAAUGCUGCGUUUCUUUGCUCACAAACAGACCCUGAGCCCCGCCUCAGCUCGUCCAGGCUUGCAAAUGAGAAAUUCGGAGUAAUCUUCACUUCUUGCCUUCUCACACUAGGUUGGACUUCCGCCUACGUGUGAGCCUUUGGCAGCUGCCCGUGAGGGCCUGGCGUGACUUCACGUCUGCAUUUGGCAUCAGAAAUCUCAGGACUAGGACCGUGGUCUGCCUUUCGGGGAAGUGGCUGCUGGGCCGACGUCCUAUGGGAGCCGGUGCGAAGAUUGUGUGCUGUGCGAAAGCAUGGUGAUACUUUAGUGCAAUACGCGGCGUACUGGACUCCAUGGUUCAGUUGCUCUCAAUCCUUAAGCGGGAGGAGAAGCGUGUGGACAUGGAGAAAGGUAUCAUUCGAUUCCGAUUACUCUGGGGAGGAC